rnacentral:rRNA from 1 species
UACGAAGGGGGCUAGCGUUGCUCGGAAUCACUGGGCGUAAAGGGUGCGUAGGAGGGCAGGUAAGUCAGUGGUGAAAUCCCCGAGCUUAACUUGGGAACUGCCGUUGAUACUAUCUGUCUUGAAUGUUGUGGAGGUGAGCGGAAUAUGUCAUGUAGCGGUGAAAUGCUUAGAUAUGACAUAGAACACCAAUUGCGAAGGCAGCUCGCUACACAAUUAUUGACUCUGAGGCACGAAAGCGUGGGGAUCAAACAGG